rnacentral:rRNA from 1 species
UACGUAGGGUGCGAGCGUUAAUUGGAAUUACUGGGCGUAAAGCGUGCGCAGGCGGUGAUGUAAGACAGAUGUGAAAUCCCCGGGCUCAACCUGGGAACUGCAUUUGUGACUGCAUCGCUGGAGUGCGGCAGAGGGGGAUGGAAUUCCGCGUGUAGCAGUGAAAUGCGUAGAUAUGCGGAGGAACACCGAUGGCGAAGGCAAUCCCCUGGGCCUGCACUGACGCUCAUGCACGAAAGCGUGGGGAGCAAACAGGAUUGAGAAC